GACGAACGCUGGCGGCGUGCUUAACACAUGCAAGUCGAACGGAAAGGCCCUUCUUUUGGUGGGUGCGCGAGUGACGAACGGGUGAGUAACACGUGAGUAACCUGCCCUUUACUGUUGGAUAACUUCAGGAAACUGUGGCUAAUACCGGAUAGUAGCUCCUGCUGCAUGGUGGUGGUUGGAUAGGUUCGGCGGUUGGGGAUGGGCUCGCGGCUUAUCAGCUUGUUGGUGGGGUAGUGGCUUACCAAGGCUUUGACGGGUAGCCGGCCUGAGAGGGUGACCGGCAACAUUGGGACUGAGAUCCGGCCAAGCCUCCUCCGGGAGGAAGCAGUGGGGAAUAUUGACAAAUGGGGCGAACCCUGAUGAAGCACCGCGGCGUGCGGGAUGACGGCCUUCGGGUGGUAACCCGCUUCAGCAGGUGACGAAGCGUGAGUGACGGUAACGGCUAAAGAAGCACCGGCUAACUACGUG
rnacentral:rRNA from 1 species